GUUGUUAUGACAAGGUGUUUCUCGAUGGCUGUGAUCAUUUGCACUCAAGACACAGACAUUGACGGUCGACACUCUCGCCCUCUGCUCUUCAUAUUUACGACGAUGAAAGUAGCGGCCAACUUAUCAUUUAUGUUUGGUGAGGCUGGUGGACUGUUGGCCCGGUACAAGGCUGCCAGAGAGGCGGGGUUCCUGGCAGUUGAGUGUGCCUUCCCUUACUCGGUGCCGGAAAAAGACGUGGCGGCGGUACUUAAGGAAGAAGGGCUAGAGCAAGUCCUCAUCAACUCUGAUCCUGGUGAUCUGCAGGCCGGUGAGCUGGGGUUUGCAGCUGUGCCAGGCCAGGAGACAAGGUUCAGGGAGAGUCUCGAGCGAUCCAUAUCAUUUGCAAAAGCUCUCGGUUGCCACAAGCUCCACAUUAUGUCAGGACAUCAGAGUGCCGAUCACAAUGAGAAGGCGCAUGUUACAACACUUGAAAGCAACCUACGUCAUGCUGUCAGUCGCCUUGCCAAGGAGGACAUUGUUGGCCUUAUAGAACCCAUCAAUCCAGUGUCUAUCCCUGGCUACUUUCUCAACAACUAUGACACAGUUACAUUCUUGGAACUUUUUAGCCGUGUCCUUGAUAGAGAAGAUCGAGUCUCCUUAUCUACGACUUCAGCUUGACGUCUUCCACCUCCAGAUGAUCUGUGGCAACGUGACCAACAACAUCAAGAAACUUAUCCCUCUUACAGGUCACGUCCAGAUAGCCCAGGCUCCUCACCGUCACGAACCUUCCUGCCCCGGAGAACUGGACUAUGCGUUCAUCUUCAAGAGCUUACGUGAGGCGG
rnacentral:misc_RNA from 1 species